rnacentral:rRNA from 1 species
ACGCUCGACACCUACGGGAGGCAGCAGUGGGGAAUAUUGCACAAUGGAGGAAACUCUGAUGCAGCGAUGCCGCGUGAGGGAAGAAGGUUUUCGGAUUGUAAACCUCUGUCUUUGGGGACGAUAAUGACGGUACCCAAGGAGGAAGCUCCGGCUAACUACGCGCCAGCAGCCGCGGUAAUCUGAGCGGGCUGGCAAGGC